CAAACUCCGAAUGCCAAUUAAUUUAACUUGGGAGUCAGAACAUGGGUGAUAAGGUCCGUGUUCGAAAGGGAAACAGCCCAGACCACCAGCUAAGGUCCCAAAAUAUAUGUUAAGUGGAAAAGGAUGUGGCGUUGCCCAGACAACUAGGAUGUUGGCUUAGAAGCAGCCAUCAUUUAAAGAGUGCGUAAUAGCUCACUAGUCGAGUGACACUGCGCCGAAAAUGUACCGGGGCUAAACAUAUUACCGAAGCUGUGGAUUGUCCUUUGGACAAUGGUAGGAGAGCGUUCUAAGGGCGUUGAAGCAUGAUCGUAAGGACAUGUGGAGCGCUUAGAAGUGAGAAUGCCGGUGUGAGUAGCGAAAGACGGGUGAGAAUCCCGUCCACCGAUUGACUAAGGUUUCCAGAGGAAGGCUCGUCCGCUCUGGGUUAGUCGGGUCCUAAGCUGAGGCCGACAGGCGUAGGCGAUGGAUAACAGGUUGAUAUUCCUGUACCACCUAUAAUCGUUUUAAUCGAUGGGGGGACGCAGUAGGAUAGGCGAAGCGUGCGAUUGGAUUGCACGUCUAAGCAGUAAGGCUGAGUAUUAGGCAAAUCCGGUACUCGUUAAGGCUGA
rnacentral:rRNA from 1 species